rnacentral:lncRNA from 1 species
GGCGUAGUUAGUGAAUGUAAAAGCUUUGUAAAUUUGUAAUUUCUUUUCUUUUUAUAAAUCUUAUUUUUUUUACAUGUUCUUACCAUCAAUAUACAGUAGCAAUAAAUACAUAGAGCACAGUGUUUCUCAAUCUGUAAGUCGCAACUUAAAAGUGGGUCUAUCUGUAAUAGGUCAGAGAGCUACAUACCAUCUAUCAAUAAAGUUUUAUUUUUCACUAUUAUAUCUUAAUAAAUCAAAAAAUAAACUGAUAUUUUUCAAGCAAUAUAAGAAGUAUCAUUUUUUAAUCUCUGCAAUUUUUAUUUUAAAGUUUAUAGUAGGUCAUAAAGAAUUGUCCAUUAUAUAGUUUUAACCCUGCUUUGAAAAGACUGAGAAGUGUUAAUAUAGCACAAUAAUAAGAAAGAAUAGUAUACAAAUUUCAUCCCCUUUCAUAGCAGACCAUUUUCAAUUAUGGAAUGUAUAAUAAACUAGGAAAAAAUAAACAUUAUGCUUAAUUCCACAAUAUAGAAAAUUAAAUAUUUACAGU